AUGUUCUGCAUAUGGAUUGAAGGUAUUUUGUUGUCAUUUACAACUCAAGGUUGUAGAAUGGAAUUCAGAUAGUUCCCUUAUGCUACUUAAAUAUAUAAAAAUGUGCUGUCUUUGCUGGGCAGCUGAGUACCAAUGGUCUUCUUAAACAGUUUUUCAUGUAAAGUGUCAUCUGCAAUAAUACAUCACAGUUUUUAUGGUGCUAUCCAUUUGUCUCGUAAACCCCCAGCCCGAGUUGGAAAGUGUAAAUCUUGCAGCUAUCUCGCGACAUUUCAAUGAGACACACCCCCUUUUGGUCGUAAUUUCAGCUGUCCAACUCGGGGUACCUACACCGAGCUAAACAAGGACGAACGUACGACCCGCAAAACAAAGAUGGCAGCGCCCGUAUUGAGAUGUAUUUUCUUUGUAUUUGUACAACGUUGGUCGUUUUAAUGUCGAUUUUAAAUGCUCCUACACACUUGUUUACAUUGCUGCUUUAGUCCGGUCACCAAUUUAUGCAUUGCACGGUGUUGUUGUGCGUGCAAUACAAUGUAAAGUUUUGUUUUUGAGCUGGUUUGCUAAAUAGGCUAAUGUAGCUAACAAUAACACUAGCCUGCCACUGCCCCUGGUGGCUCGAGACAAACGAGGUAUAAAGCCUUUCACACAGUAGAACAUAACUUUAUAUUUCAAACUAUUGAAAAAUUUGGUUUUGGUGAUUUUUUCUGUAAAGCUGUUAGAACAAUGUACUCCAAAGGCAAUAGCUCUACCAGAUAAAAAAAUCACCGAGAUUUGAGCUGCAAAGAGGCAUCCAGCAGGGCUGCCCUGCCUAACCCUACCUAUUCAUUUUAUGUACACAACUUCUUUCCACCCAUAUUAAAAAUAGUGCUUUAAAAGAAAUUUCAAUUGCAGAAAGAGAAGUUAUCCUCACCCAACUAGCAGAUGAUACUACAUUAUUUUUAAAAAAUGCCAGCCAAGUGCCAAUUGCUAUCAAAACAAUAGAAUUAUUUUCCGCAGCUUCUGGACUCUGCUUAAAUCUGAAGAAGUGUGAACUUUUUUCCCUUAAAGAAAGCGACACCUCCCAGGUUUGUAACAUACCAAUCAAAGAUAAGAUUACUUAUCUAGGGAUUACUAUAAUGAAAAAUGAGGAGGCGAUAUGCUCUGUAAACUUUAGUUUGAUUAGUGAUAAGACAAAGAAAAAGCUUAAUCAAUGGCUGCAGAGAGAUUUAUCCUUGAAAGGAUGAGUAUUGUUGACAAAGGCAGAAGGUUUAUCCCGUCUUACUUACUUAUGCAGCUAUCCCCUUGUUUGUCAACAAAAAGCUCUGUAAUUCCAUUAAUAAAUUACUUUUCAAUUUUAUCUGGAAAAACAGAAAAAAUCUGUUAUUAUGAACACUUUCUUGAUUUUACAACCCUUAAUAAUAAAUAAAUAAUAAUACUUUUAAAAUAAAUUGGAUAAAGCAUUUUCUAAAAAAUCCCACAUCUACAUGGAAUUUUAUACCUAACUAUAUUUUCUCUAAGGUUGGAGGUCUAGAAUAUUUACUUUUGUGUGAUUAUAGAAUAGAAAAAAUUCCCUUAAUUUGAUCUAAAUUCCACAAACAAAUGCUCUUAGCAUGGUCGUUAAUCUACAAACAUAACUUCUCCCCACAUAGGUGCUUCAUCUGGAAUAAUCGGCUUAUUAAAUAGCUAGUAUAGUAUCCCAAUUACUAAAUGAUAAUGGAACAUUGCUGAAUUAUACUGAAUUCCUUCACAAUUUUGGCAUUCCAAUCACCCCAAAAGAGUUUGCAAUUGUUAUGGAUGCCAUCCCAUCUGGUAUUUUAACUCUCUUAAAAGGGACUGGAAAACCAGACUGUUUACCAGCUUCGGACCCUAAGUUGACCUCAGUUGGUAAUAUAUGUUUCGCUACCACAACGAGGAAUAAUAAUCGUAACAUUCGCUCUUUAUUCCAGAGAGAUGUCACCAGUGCCCCUAAUGUUGUUCCCUAUUGGUCUAAUUUUGUUGACAGCCUGAAUUGGGGAAAUACCUGGAACCUUCCUUACAAAUACCUCCUUACAAAUAAAGUAAGAGAAGUCUCUUUCAAAAUCAUACAUAGGUAUUAUCCUACUAAGCAAUAUCUCCUUAGGUUUAAGCUUGACGUAUGUGUUAACUGUUCUUUAUGUGGAAUAUGUCCAGAAACAAUGGUGCACCUGUUCUGGCAAUGUCCCUACACCACCACUUUCUGGAAAGAUCUGUCCCAAUACAUUACUGAUAAACUUGUCUCUGAUUUUUCUUUGUUGUGGAAAGAUGUACUGUUUGGUUUCCAUGACAACAAAAGUAAAAAAACAGAAAGAAAUAUACCUAAUUAAUUUGUUGAUCAUUUUAGGGAAAUAUCAUAUUCACAAAGCCAAAUUUAGUAACUCUAAACCUUCUUUUAUUGCUUUUGGUAAGGAAAUGGAACAGUACAUCAAAACCAUCUAUGAUUCAAAAAAUAAGAAAGCUAACAAGGAGAACAACAUCCCCUUUACUGUCUCCACCUCUCUGAUGUUGCCUAGUCUUUGUGUGUCUGUUUAUGAACCAUCUGUGGGUUAUUACAGCCGACUCCAGCGUGUGAUGGUUGUGUACAACCGAAAGCUGAACACCUGGUUCUGCCGCUGCAGUCAUACACGAGGGUCAUGUCCACACAAAAUCAUUGCCAAGUGGCACUUUUUCCAGGAGUGUCCUACUGUUUUUAAAAAGGUCAGAUCCAGUGAGUACAUCCCAGAAGACCAACCCAUGGAAACCACCAUUCCAUCAAACACAAUUGAGGCAGAGGGUGACGGCUCUCUCUACCCACCAAAAGGAGAAGAGCUGAAGAAAAUGGUUGAAUAUAUAUUCAAACCAACACUUCCACCAACACUGCCAGAUCACCUCAGAAAACACACAAACGAGUACCCUCAAUUCUUGAUGAGACCGGAUGAGACUUUCUGCACUGUCUGCCCUGGGACUAUUUCUUUAAGUGCUCCGAUUCUGAUAACUGCAAAGGCCAAAAUUCUGUCCUUAAUUACUUACACUUUUGCGCAGUAUAAGAAAGUAAGAUUUGUGUUAAAACGAUGUGCUAAAGUGAUUAUGGCCAACGCCCUCUCUAUUUCAAAUCCCCAGAUGUCUCUACAUUUAUCAGGAAAUGUGUGGACUGCGGCAUGACUUAUUGCUAUCAGGAGUUCAGGGAUGGAGUUCACAAUUUUAAUGAUCACCUCCUCCUUGGACUACACUUAUGUUUGUUUUUCAGGUCCCAGCUCCAGGUUACUAUCUUUUUCAACAGUUACUUCAAAUUCUCUCUGUGAUGAUAUAAAUAAAUACUUAACAAUGUUUAUGCACUAAAUGUCAAGACUUGCCAAGCUGUUGCCAGCACUCUACAGUCCCUUGAGCAACUGACAGAGACCAAUGGCAAUGUUCUUCCUUUAGGAUGACAUGGCAGCUCUGCGGAGAUGGUGGUGUGCAGUGCUAGUGGAAAACCUGCACCUGGAGGGGUAUGUGUCUGUGUCUGUGUCAGAUUUUGACAAUUUUUUUCUACAGACAUGGCAGGAGGUUUGCCCAUUAUUCCAAGGAGGCAGAAAGCAUGCUGAAUGGUCUUCUUCCUCCAGUCUUUAGACUAAAAUGAAAAAGAGAGCUGUUUCUAAUGUCCAGGAGGGGGUGACAAGCCAAGGGGAGGACAAAAAUUGAGAGGUUUGGGACAUUAUUUGUUUAAGGAGAUAAUGUGGUUUUUACAAUUUUCAAUGGUGGUAACCAUGACAUUACUAAAAGUUAAUUCUAUUAUACAUGUGGUCAACAGGAGCCAACACAGGAUGAUCAAAUCAUUGGGGAGCACAAUUACUUUAAGAGGCCAUGCACAAGGGGGUGGCUGUGGCUCAGAGGCAGAGCGGGUCGUUCCUAAAUCGGAAGGUUCGAUCCCCAGCUCCUGGUGCCACAUGUCGAAGUAUCCUUGAGCAAGAUACUGAACCCCAAAUUGCUCCCGAUGCCGUGCAUCGGUGUGUGAAUGAGUAUGAAUGUUAGUUUCUGUUCGAUGGACUUUGCCGUGAAUGUGUGUGAAAGGGUGAGUGUGGCACGUAGUGUAAAAGCGCUUUUAGUGGUCGGAAGACUAGAAAGGCGCUAUACAAGUUUUACCAUUUACAAUCAACCUGGCUGAGUUGGUUAGUGUGUGAUUUAGUUAUUACUAUCGAGCAUGCUAUCUAGUCUCCCUAAUUUAUAUGAAGCAUUUACUAAACAUGUCUCAAUUUUAAAAUGUUUACUUUUAGGACAAUGGAUCUAAGGAGAACAUGAAAAGACUAGAGGAAAUGGUAGAAGAGGCACAGGAGAAGCGGAAACAGCAGUGUUCAGUACUGAUUGACUUCUUAACAGGGAACACUAAACUAAGACAACACCUUGAGGCCAUCACCACUGGCAAUCUGCACUCACUGUGGAAAGGAAAAAAGUAGAGGGCCACCACCUACUUCGAUGAUGACACGCAGCUUGAGGAAGUGGUCUCUUUUCUAUUUGGAAUCCUUAAGGACACACCAGGAGCGAGACAACCUCUAGAUCCUGUUGCCUUUGUCUUUGACGUGCUUUUGCCUUAGACAGUUAUCUACAGCCUGGUGGAGGUGCACUCCCUAUCAGUACAGAAAGCCACUGAGCUGUACAAACAGGGCCCACAAUAUGAACCAUGUGAGUUGGACCUCUUUCAAAUCUGCCUCCAGAAAAAUCUGAGCGCAGAGGCCACCAAAAGGCUUCAGGACUUUGAAAUAAAAAUGAGAAAAGCCCUCCAAUCAGAAACAUUUCUGAAGCGAUUGUAAAUUUUUGUUGUUGCUAAAUGCAAGUUCUUACUGUACCUUUAAGGAUAGAUAUUUAAUAAAG